ACGCUGGCGGCAGGCCUAACACAUGCAAGUCGAGCGGUAGAGAGAAGCUUGCUUCUCUUGAGAGCGGCGGACGGGUGAGUAAUGCCUAGGAAUCUGCCUGGUAGUGUGGGAUAACGUUCGGAAACGGACGCUAAUACCGCAUACGUCCUACGGGAGAAAGCAGGGGACCUUCGGGCCUUGCGCUAUCAGAUGAGCCUAGGUCGGAUUAGCUAGUUGGUGGGGUAAUGGCUCACCAAGGCGACGAUCCGUAACUGGUCUGAGAGGAUGAUCAGUCACACUGGAACUGAGACACGUCCAGACUCCUACGGGAGGCAGCAGUGGGGAAUAUUGGACAAUGGGCGAAAGCCUGAUCCAGCCAUGCCGCGUGUGUGAAGAAGGUCUUCGGAUUGUAAAGCACUUUAAGUUGGGAGGAAGGGUUGUAGAUUAAUACUCUGCAAUUUUGACGUUACCGACAGAAUAAGCACCGGCUAACUCUGUGCCAGCAGCCGCGGUAAUACAGAGGGUGCAAGCGUUAAUCGGAAUUACUGGGCGUAAAGCGCGCGUAGGUGGUUAGUUAAGUUGGAUGUGAAAUCCCCGGGCUCAACCUGGGAACUGCAUUCAAAACUGACUGACUAGAGUAUGGUAGAGGGUGGUGGAAUUUCCUGUGUAGCGGUGAAAUGCGUAGAUAUAGGAAGGAACACCAGUGGCGAAGGCGACCACCUGGACUGAUACUGACACUGAGGUGCGAAAGCGUGGGGAGCAAAC
rnacentral:rRNA from 1 species